rnacentral:rRNA from 1 species
CCUACGGGCGGCAGCAGUGAGGAAUCUUGGUCAAUGGCCGGAAGGCUGAACCAGCCAAGCCGCGUGAGGGAGGAAGGCGCAGAGCGUCGCAGACCUCUUUUGCCGGGGGACACAAGGCCGGACGGGUCCGGUUCUGAGGGUACCCGGCGUAACAGCAUCGGCUAACGCCGUGCCAGCAGCCGCGGUACUACGGGGGAUGCGAGCGUUAUCCGGAUUCAUUGGGGUUAACGGGUGCGCAGGGGGGCCUUUAAGCCGGCGGGGAAAUCGCGGGGCGCAACCCCGCCGAGCCGUCGGAACUGGGGGCCGUGAGUGCGGCGGAGGCAUGCGGAAUGCGCGGUGUAGCGGUGAAAUGCAUAGAGAUCGGGCAGAACCCCGAUUGCGAAGGCAGCGUGCCGUGCCGCCACUGACGCUGAGGCACGAAAGCGCGGGGAUCGAACAGGAUUAGAUACCCGUGUAGUC